UACGUAGGGUGCGAGCGUUGUCCGGAAUCAUUGGGCGUAAAGCGCGCGUAGGUGGCUUCGUAAGUCCGUUGUGAAAGUCAAAGGCUCAACCUUUGAAUGCCGAUGGAUACUGCGGAGCUAGAGUACGGAAGAGGCGAGUGGAAUUCCUGGUGUAGCGGUGGAAUGCGCAGAUAUCAGGAGGAACACCAAUAGCGAAGGCAGCUCGCUGGGACGUUACUGACACUAAGGCGCGAAAGCGUGGGGAGCGAACAGG
rnacentral:rRNA from 1 species